rnacentral:tRNA from 2 species
GCCCCCCUAGCUCAGCUGGCUAGAGCAGCUGAUUUGUAAUCAGCAGGUCGACGGUUCGAAUCCGCCGGGGGGCU